GCUCUUUUGGUGUAGUCGGUUAUCACGGAUGCUUCACACGCAUCAGGUCGCCGGUUCGAAUCCGGCAGAGAGCA